CCUACGGGAGACUGCAGUGGGGAAUAUUGCACAAUGGGGGAAACCCUGAUGCAGCAACGCCGCGUGAAGGAAGACGGUUGUCGGAUUGUAAACUUCUGUUCUUAGUGAAGAAUAAUGACGGUAGCUAAGGAGCAAGCCACGGCUAACUACGUGCCAGCAGCCGCGGUAAUACGUAGGUGGCAAGCGUUGUACGGAAUUACUGGGUGUAAAGGGAGAGGAGGCGGGAAAGCAAGUCAGCUGUGAAAACUACGGGCUUAACUUGUGGACUGCAGUUGAAACUGGUUUUCUUGAGUAAAGGAGAGGCAGACGGAAUUCCGAGUGUAGCGGUGAAAUGCGUAGAUAUUAGGAGGAACACCAGUGGCGAAGGCGGUCUGCUGGACAGCAACUGACGCUGAGGCGCGAAAGCGUGGGGAGCAAACAGGAUUAGAUACCCGGGUAGUC
rnacentral:rRNA from 1 species